rnacentral:rRNA from 1 species
UGGGGAAUCUUGGACAAUGGGGGCAACCCUGAUCCAGCCAUGCCGCGUGAGUGAUGAAGGCCUUAGGGUCGUAAAGCUCUUUCGCCUGUGAAGAUAAUGACGGUAGCAGGUAAAGAAACCCCGGCUAACUCCGUGCCAGCAGCCGCGGUAAUACGGAGGGGGUUAGCGUUGUUCGGAAUUACUGGGCGUAAAGCGCACGUAGGCGGACCAGAAAGUUGGGGGUGAAAUCCCGGGGGCUCAACCCCGGAACUGCCUCCAAAACUAUUGGUCUAGAGUUCGAGAGAGGUGAGUGGAAUUCCAAGUGUAGAGGUGAAAUUCGUAGAUAUUUGGAGGAACACCAGUGGCGAAGGCGGCUCACUGGCUCGAUACUGACGCUGAGGUGCGAAAAGUGUGGGGAGCAAAACAGGAUUAGAUACCCUGGUAGUCCACACCGUAAAACGAUGAAUGCCAGUCGUCGGGUAGCAUCUAUUCGGUGACACACCUAACGGAUUAAGCAUUCCGCCUGGGGAGUACGGUCGCAAGACU